AUGCAAACUCGAUCACUAGCUCUGCAUAAUGUGGCAGCGGCUAAGGGAACCAGGUUUGCUAGAGCAAUUGUGGUGACAGCAGUGCACCGACCUCAGACGGCUACUGAGGUGCCCAUUCUGUCCCAGAACAACA